GCUUCCUACCGUUGACAGGUUUGCAGACAUAUUCCUGAAUGAUGCAAAGUGUUAGUUUUCGGUUCACAAUGAAGAUCAUUCAAGUGUGCCUAGCUCUGAUAGGCGCUGCCUACGCUCAUUUACCUAUUGGAGAAGUUGAGAAACGAUGCCUGGUGGACAAACCGCACGUGUCACAAGGUGUCGCUUACGUCGCGGACGUCGAUUGCGCCUAUUACUGGCAGUGUGACUUCGCCAACACCCUACUGAAAAAUGUCACCCUAAAAUCUUGUCCCAUCGGAACGCUGUGGGCCUCCAUCGCGAGUUUA